GCUUUGAAAAGGAGCAGGCCUAAAUGGAUUAACCUCAGUUACGAAACUCCAAUUCAACGCCGCUUCACAUGUCUUCUUCUUCUUCUUCCGUUUAUCGCCGGCUUCACGGAAUCUUCACCGGGAAACACAAAGUCAGUGUAAAGCUGAAAACUGAACAGCCCCAAAUAACUUCCACCAAAUCCACAUCUAAACUUCCUGAAAAACAUAAACUUCAAAGCAUUGUUGACAACUUCAAAAAAUCAUCUGAAUCUCCUGAAUUCCGAAACCGUUGCACCAACUAUACGACCGCUAUUCGCCGCCUUGAAUUCAAUUCUUCCGCUAUCGAAGACAUUUUUGAGCACCAAAAACAAUACCCAGAAAUUAGCAAUGAGUUCUUUGUCUGCCGUCUCAUACUCUUAUAUGGUACAGCAAAAAUGCAUGAACAUGCCCGUAAACUGUUCGACGAAAUGCCAAACCUAAAAUGUCAACGAACAGUCUUUUCUUUCAAUGCCCUUUUGGAGGCCUACUCAAGGGCAGAGAAGUACGAUAUAAUCAGAGAUUUGUUUCGUGAAUUACCUGGGGAACUAUCGAUAGAGCCUGAUGUAGUGUCUUAUAAUACUUUGAUUAAGGCAUCAUGGAAAGCUGGUUCUUUGGAUUCUGCUCUCAGUGUAAUGGAUGAGAUGGAAAAUCAAGGAAUUAUACCUGAUAAAGUGACUUUCAAUACGCUUUCGAACGCAUAUUAUGAAAGUAAAAAGUUUUCUGAAGCAGAAGAUUUGUGGGUAUUGAUGCAAAAGAAGAAUGUUGAUGCUGACUUGGGGAGUUACACCGUUAGAUUACAAGGAUUGGUUGCGAAUAACCAGGUUAGCGAGGCGAUUGAACUGUUUGAGGAGAUGGGGAAGAAAGACAUCAUCCCAAAAGCUUUCAGUUAUAACAUUAUGAUCAAAAUGUAUGUGGAUGAUAGGAACUGGGAAGAGGCAAAAAGAUGGUAUGUGAAAAUGGUGGAAAAAGGACGUUAUCCGGAUAAUGCAACAUUUGAGAUGCUCAUUUCUUUUGCUUGUGACAAGGAUAAUCUUGAUUUUGCGCUUGAAUUGUGUAAGAAAGCUAUUGCUUCAAAAGUUGCUAUUUAUAAUGCAACAAUGCAGAGGGUAGUCAAUGUCUUGGCUGAGCAUUCCAAGCUUGAAGAUGCACAGGAGCUGGUGAACUUGGCCAAAUCAUAUAAGCUAUUCCACUCCCGACCCCGAUCCCGGUAUAAACUUUCGCUGCCUUCUCUUUAAUAGUUACACAUUUUAUGCGGUAGUUUUACUUGCACUACUGUUUCUGCUGAACUAUGUUUUUAGGAUUUGUUUGUGAGUUUUAUGAAUUACCCUUCAAGAUUGAAGAAUAUAAGGCUUGUGGAAUGCUUCGGUUGAACGUAUAAAUAUUUUGCUUAUAGCAAUUUAGUUC